AGGAGCAACAGCCCUAGUGGCGGGGCAGCUCUGGAAACCUGGAUUCAGCUCCGGCAGGAACUCCGGAGCUCUCCGUCUGCAGGGCCUGGAGGCUCCGGGGCGGG
rfam:Canis lupus familiaris chromosome 2, whole genome shotgun sequence.